AAUUUCCAGAUCCGCUCUAGUGGUUAGAGCAUCCGCCUUGGAUGCGGGAGGUCCUGGGUUCGAUCCCUGGUCGAGUCA